GAUUAUCAAAACAAGACUUAACCUAUUUGAUUCUUGGUGGCAACCUUCCAAAAUAUAUACAAAGCAUGAAAACUAGGAGGAUCUUGUUGAUAUUUGGAGAGUAGUUUAGGUGGAUUGGGAUUUUUAAUGGAUGAAGAAGAAGAAGAAGAAGAAGAAGAAGAAGAAGAAGAAGAAGUCGAGAGUGAGGUGAAAGAAAUGGUCUUCUUUCCUUGUAGUACACAUUUUUAUCAAUUGGGUCUUACUAAUGGGCUUCAAUAUCCAAAAUAAAAAUAAAAA